AGUUACCAUCAUUGAGUUGGGGACUCUAGCGAGACUGCCAGCGAUAAGCUGGAGGAAGUGGGGAUGACGUCAAAUCAUCAUGCCCUUAUGACCUGGGCUACAAACGUGAUACAAUGGCUGGAACAAAGGGAGGCGAAGGGGUGACCUGGAGCGAAACCCAAAAAUACAGUCUCAGUUCGGAUUGAAGUCUGCAACUCGACUUCAUGAAGUCGGAAUCGCUAGUAAUCGCGGAUCAGAACGCCGCGGUGAAUACGUUCUCGGGGUUU
rnacentral:rRNA from 1 species